AGCACGUCCACUCGCCCCGGAAGGAAACCGAAGUCCACCCAGCAGCCACCCGUGGUCCCCGGCCAGCCUCUGAUUUUCAGCCUGCAGACUCGCCUGCCUCUGGCAGUUAAUGUAGAGGGAGGAGCUGUGCGUCCGGUCACAGACACCGAGCCAGAGCCCGGCGUGCACCUGCCCCUCUUCCCGCCAUCUAAACUCAGAACUGUGCCAGGCGCCCCGAAAUCCUCCUCACACACUGACUUUGAUACCCGGGGGGUCUGUACUUCAAAUAUUUGGUGCCAAUGUCUGCAGAGAAAGUGAAGCCGUUGAUUGAUCCAGCACCACCUAUAAAUAAA